rnacentral:ncRNA from 2 species
AGAGGAAGUCCGGUGCGAAUCCGGCGCGGUCCCGCCACUGUCACCGGGGAGCGCUCCUCCGACGAGGGCCACGGCCCGUACGCACGCCGUACGGGCGGGAAGGCCGGGGGCGGCGCCGAUCCGGGAGCCAGGAGACUC